UGUAGGAGCGGGCUUGCCCGCGAUGGCGGCAGCACAUUCCGCAUUGAUGUGACCGUUAAAUCGCUAUCGCGGGCAAGCCCGCUCCUACA
rnacentral:misc_RNA from 1 species